rnacentral:rRNA from 1 species
UGGCGGCGUGCCUAACACAUGCAAGUCGAACGCGAAAGUCCCGCAAGGGAUGAGUAGAGUGGCAAACGGGUGAGUAACACGUGGGUGACCUGCCUUCGAGUGGGGGAUAACGUCCCGAAAGGGACGCUAAUACCGCAUGACAUCCUGCUUUUUAAGAGGCGGAGAUCAAAGCUGGGGAUCGCAAGACCUGGCGCUUGAAGAGGGGCCCGCGCCUGAUUAGCUAGUUGGUGGGGUAACGGCUCACCAAGGCAUCGAUCAGUAUCCGGCCUGAGAGGGCGGACGGACACACUGGGACUGGGACACGGCCCAGACUCCUACGGGAGGCAGCAGUGGGGAAUUGUUCGCAAUGGGCGCAAGCCUGACGACGCAACGCCGCGUGGAGGAUGAAGACCUUCGGGUCGUAAACUCCUUUCGAUCGAGACGUAUGGUUUCCGGGUGAACAAUCCGGGAAAAUGACGGUACCGAGAGAAGAAGCCCCGGCUAACUCCGUGCCAGCAGCCGCGGUAAUACGGGGGGGGCAAGCGUUGUUCGGAAUUACUGGGCGUAAAGGGCUCGUAGGCUGCCAACUAAGUCAGACGUGAAAUCCCUCGGCUUAACCGGGGAACUGCUUCUGAUACUGGAUGGCUUGAGUUUGGGAGAGGGAUGCGGAAUUCCAGGUGUAGCGGUGAAAUGCGUAGAUAUCUGGAGGAACACCGGUGGCGAAGGCGGCAUCCUGGACCAACACUGACGCUGAGUGAGCGAAA